GGGGGAGCUUGAAGUUUGACGGGAUCGAUUCCUGCAUGAUCAUUUGAGAGAAAGGAGGGUCAGUACAGAUGUCCUCACCAUAAGCAGGGGGAGCGUGGUGGAGCUCUUCGAUCCACCGGUUCAUCUCCUGGAGCCUUUGAUCCAGAAGGUCUUCUCGAUUGUGAGUCUCGAGGAUCUUCUGGCAGAAUGGAGGUAGGGAUCCUCCGAGAGUGGAAUCG
rnacentral:lncRNA from 1 species